rnacentral:lncRNA from 1 species
UCGGAUCGGUUCUUGCCUAAAAUGCAUUGAAAAAUCAAAAUAAUUGACUUCGUUCAGGCUUGAGAAGCAUCUAUCUCUAGGAUAUGUGGCUGGCGUUUAAUUGGUGGCUGUAUGGUACCUACACCGGUAUUUUCCAUCAAGACCUCCAGAAAGUGAUAUCAUCUCUAGGUGAAAAUACGAAAUCCAUUUACUGCUCUCUUUCUUGUCUCACUCAUUCAUAUUAUUAUAUGUACACAAAUUCAUGUCAUUCUGAACUUGUUACACCGGUGCAGAAGCAAAAAAUAGAUGCACAAGUUCAUCUUUUGUGACACAUUCAAUACGAAUUCUGAUGUUCCUUUGCUAGGUGAUGAUUUCACCGAGUUGGGGAUUCGGUGAUGCUGCUUGGUGCACGAAAGAACCAAAAUAUUUUGCAUUCAGCCGCUAGUGGAGUUGGUCUUGUGGACCACAAAAUUAGCUUAAUCUGAAGCUAGCUAGCUUGAUGUGAAGCUCCCCCUGGGUUCAGUUAGCUGGAUGGUGCAGUCAACUACUAGUUUUGGUGUACAAACAAGACAGGGGAUCAAUUAAAUUGUAGUUGUGCAUUGUUUGUUU